rnacentral:tRNA from 1 species
AAGGGCAUAGCUCGGUGGCAGAGCACAUGUUUAGCAUGCAUAAGGUCCUGGGUUCAAUCCCUAGUACCUCCA